UCUUGCCUACGGGAGGCAGCAGUGAGGAAUAUUGGUCAAUGGCCGAGAGGCUGAACCAGCCAAGUCGCGUGAGGGAAGACGGUCCUAUAGAUUGUAAACCUCUUUUGUCGGGGAGCAAAAGACGCCACGCGUGGCGUUCCGAGAGUACCCGAAGAAAAAGCAUCGGCUAACUCCGUGCCAGCAGCCGCGGUAAUACGGAGGAUGCGAGCGUUAUCCGGAUUUAUUGGGUUUAAAGGGUGCGCAGGCGGAAGAUCAAGUCAGCGGUAACAUUGAGAGGCUCAACCUCUUCGAGCCGUUGAAACUGG
rnacentral:rRNA from 1 species